ACAAACAAGGCUAAGAUCUCCAGAGCAGGGCCUCGGGGAUGGAGUUUACUUGGGCGCCCACUCCCAGGUGGUCCAGGUGAACGACUCCAUGUAUGGCUUCAUCGGCACAGACGUGGUUCUGCACUGCAGCUUUGCCAACCCGCUGCCCAGCGUGAAGAUCACCCAGGUCACGUGGCAGAAGUCCACCAAUGGCUCCAAGCAGAACGUGGCCAUCUACAACCCAUCCAUGGGCGUGUCCGUGCUGGCUCCCUACCGUGAGCGAGUGGAAUUUCUGCGGCCCUCCUUCACCGAUGGCACCAUCCGCCUCUCCCGCCUGGAGCUGGAGGAUGAGGGUGUCUACAUCUGCGAGUUUGCUACCUUCCCUACGGGCAAUCGGGAAAGCCAGCUCAAUCUCACGGUGAUGGCCAAACCCACCAACUGGAUAGAGGGUACCCAGGCAGUGCUUCGAGCCAAGAAGGGGCAGGAUGACAAGGUCCUGGUGGCCACCUGCACCUCAGCCAAUGGGAAGCCUCCCAGUGUGGUAUCCUGGGAAACUCGGCUAAAAGGUGAGGCAGAGUACCAGGAGAUCCGGAACCCCAACGGCACAGUGACGGUCAUCAGCCGCUACCGCCUGGUGCCCAGCAGGGAAGCCCACCAGCAGUCCUUGGCCUGCAUCGUCAACUACCACAUGGACCGCUUCAAGGAAAGCCUCACUCUCAACGUGCAGUAUGAGCCUGAGGUAACCAUUGAGGGGUUUGAUGGCAACUGGUACCUGCAGCGGAUGGAUGUGAAGCUCACCUGCAAAGCUGAUGCUAACCCCCCAGCCACUGAGUACCACUGGACCACGUAAGUG
rnacentral:sRNA from 1 species